GUUCCGGGAAGUUCCUACUGACGUACAAGAGCGGGAAAGGUCGGCCCCUAGCGUCCCUAUGGGAGCAUAGCUGAUGUCGAGGCGCUUUCUUGGCAGGCUGUAUGCGGAAGUUUCGUGAAAAUUAUUUCACAUUUGUAAAGCUAUGCUAUUGAUCUCGCAGAAAGGCUUUGAAGACUAGGAUGUAUUAUUUAAGGACAAGACCUGCAGCUAAUCCUGUCCAGUUCACUCUAAAUAAGGAAAAGCUGAAAGAUAAGGAAAAAGCAUCAAAGGAGGAAGAAGAGAAAGAGAGGAACACAGCAGCCAUGGUGUGCUCUCUGGAGAACAGAGAUGAGUGUCUGAUGUGUGGAUCCCGAGGAAAGACUUAGAAGAAAACAGCACGCCUUCCUUAGCCCAAACACUUGAGCAUAGAUAAGCAUAGUGAGUUUGCUUAAGAUUAUAUGGCUUUGCCGGACCAUGUUGAAACAAAAGGAAUAAUUGAUUUAAAGUACUGUUUCUAUUUGUGUGAAUGAUUUGAAAAAAAGACUUGACAUGUUGGGAAUCAAAGUAGAAGUUUUAAGUGCAAAAGAAGUUAUCUUGGAAAUAGGAAGUGGUUUAGUAAAGUUCAUCAUGUUUUAUGCUUCUUGAUAAAUUAAAAGGCAUAUAAUAUAGAUGAAUAAUAAAGCCAUCUGCCAGUAAGAAA